UACAGAGGGGGCAAGCGUUGUUCGGAAUUACUGGGCGUAAAGGGCGCGUAGGCGGCCCGCUAAGUCGAACGUGAAAUCCCCCGGCUUAACCUGGGAACUGCGUCUGAUACUGGGAGGCUUGAGUAUGGGAGAGGGAUGUAGAAUUCCAGGUGUAGCGGUGAAAUGCGUAGAUAUCUGGAGGAAUACCGGUGGCGAAGGCGGCAUCCUGGACCAUAACUGACGCUGAGGCGCGAAAGCUAGGGGAGCAAACGGG
rnacentral:rRNA from 1 species